AGAGACGGCGCGCUCAGUGAGGCUCCGGCGGCAGCCCGCAGCGGUCCCCGAGCCGCCGUCUUUCCGCCGCCGCACUGCUGCAGGGCUUGAUAAUGAACAUGGAACAGAGGAUGUCGGCCAUGGUCUGUUAAUAGAAUCCGUUCUGGCAUUCACCUGAGACAACGUGAGAAAACUGAGGGAGAACCAAAUACAGGUGGCUCAGUCAGAGUCAACACAUUCAACGGUGUCUCAUAUUUUCAAAGGCCCCAAAACUGCAAGGCAUCUUAGAGAUGCUUGUCUUUGGUGUCUGGUGCUUUGUGGAGAAACAGUCAGCUUCCUAUAUUUGGACGUAAUAGUGCCUUCUACUACAAACGUUAGAGCAGCACCUGAGGGACAUUGAGCUGCUGCUGCUGGAGUCUGAAGUGCAGCAAGAGAGCGACAUCCGUGAGAUGGAUAGAUGGCUCAACAACAGCAACAUCAGUACCAGUGAGGAUGAGAUGCUUGAGUGGGAACGUUAGAUGAUGGCUGCUGAUGUCUCAACAACAGCAACAUCAGUACCAGUGAGGAUGAGAUGCUUGAGUGGGAACAUUAGAUGAUGGCUGAUGAUGUCUCAACAACAGCAACAUCAGUACCAGUGAGCAUGAGAUGCUUGAGUGGGAACGUUAGAUGAUGGCUGCUGAAAGGCAGUGUGAUGCCUCCCCCGGAGCAGGAGGUGGAGAUAUUUGAUUGGAUGGGAGAACUACCAGAAAUAUUGAUUGAACUGCUCAAUCCUGGGACCUAGAAUGUAAAAGUGGUGACGCUAAUACCGCCACCACAGGAGACGGCUGUGACAAGUGCACCUAGUGCGGUGAUUGUGGGGGCGGGUGUCACACACACACACACACACACACACACACACACACACACACACACACACACACACACACAUACACACACACACACACCCGAGUGGCGUGCACUGCCGUGCAAAGCGCCGCUCGUUGCCGCGUGGGAGGUGGCCGCGGCUGCUGCAGUGCCUGCCCCUGCCCCUGAACCACUGCGUACCAUCUGGCGCCCGAGAGUGGGUUCAGUCAGAGCAACGAUAUCCCACCCCCGAGACUGGCGAUGGUGAAGGCUCCAAGAUGCAGCGGCAUCAACGUGCGCCCUCUCCACAGCCUAGAUGCUCCGCCACCUCCUCCUCCCGCUGUUCAUCCUCGGCAGCAGCAAAAGGUUGCUGACGCUGAUCGAGAGUUCAGCACCGCCACCCAACGGCAUCUGCUGAGCAACAGCACCGCACAACAUCAAAG